rnacentral:rRNA from 1 species
GACAGAGGGUGCGAACGUUGUUCGGAAUUACUGGGCGUAAAGCGCGUGUAGGCGGCUCGAUAAGUCGGAUGUGAAAGCCCUGGGCUCAGCCUAGGAAGUGCAUUCGAAACUGCUGAGCUUGAGUUCUGGAGAGGAAGGCGGAAUUCUCGGUGUAGAGGUGAAAUUCGUAGAUAUUCGGAAGAACACCAGUGGCGAAGGCGACUCGCUGGACAGACAUUGACGCUGAGGUGCGAAAGCGUGGGGAGCAAACAGG